UCACACUAAUUAAAUUAGGUUUUUAACCAACCAAAGAUGAAAAUACGCCUCCAUCCAAUGUCUCCUCCAUUCGUGAGAACCAAACCUUUCAACAUUCUAGGGUUGUCGGCUUUUAGACCUCCUCUAUCGAAAGAAAAAUGAAUGGAAUUGACGAGGAAGGAGAGUUGGGUCUCGCCUCCAGUAAGGUGACAGUCCGACUGAUUUCAGUCGUGCUCGGUGUGUAGUAUGUUUUCUAGUGGCCAUAAUGGCUCCGGUAAUCGGCGACGAAAUUGACACAGAAACCUCAAGUCUUCGGCGAUUAGGAAUUUUUCAAGUUCUUUGGUGAUUUUCCGAUCUCAGGAGGCGUGUCUAGAGAAGAGGGUAAGCCCUUUCGAUCGAGUUUUCUUGUUACUGCCACUUUCUUCAUACUUUCUAAUACACGAAUUAUCUACCUUCCCAUGUGCUUUAAGCAUUCAAUCUCAUUCUAUUUUUCUUUGAUGAUGGCGGGCGAGUCAUCGUCAAUCGUGUUCGUUAUAAUCGCUUAUGAUUGUAAAUAUCGCCAGGUGUGUUCGCUAGUGCAAUGGCUUCUUCCAGACUUCAUGACAGUGAAUCGUUGGAUGAAAUGGUUAAAGAAGACAUCAUGAAGACAAUUCCCCCAAAGGUUCUUUCAUGAUUUGCUGAUAUUGUGUCGCUUUGUACUCAGGUAUUGGCUUAUGCAUAUAUGAUUAUCAAGAUGAACUAAAAGGAAUUGAUUAGUUUGUAAAUGACAGGUGAUGAUAGUUAUAAAGUUAUAUAGCUGAUGAUUGUUAUAAAGUUAUAAUCAUUUAUGAUUGUAAAUAUGGCUGUACAUAUUAUU
rnacentral:lncRNA from 1 species